rnacentral:rRNA from 1 species
UACGGGGGGGGUAAGCGUUGUUCGGAAUUACUGGGCGUAAAGGGCUCGUAGGCGGCCAACUAAGUCAUACGUGAAAUCCCUCAGCUUAACUGGGGAACUGCGUGUGAUACUGGAUGGCUUGGAUGUGGGAGAGGGAUGCGGAAUUCCACGUGUAGCAGUGAAAUGCGUAGAGAUGUGGAGGAACACCGAUGGCGAAGGCAGCCCCCUGGGUUAACACUGACGCUCAGGCACGAAAGCGUGGGGAGCAAACAGG